CCUACGGGAGGCAGCAGUAGGGAAUAUUGGGCAAUGGGCGCAAGCCUGACCCAGCGACGCCGCGUGAGGGAUGAAGGUCUUCGGAUUGUAAACCUCUUUCAGUAGGGAAGAAGCGAAAGUGACGGUACCUAAAGAAGAAGCACCGGCUAACUAUGUGCCAGCAGCCGCGGUAAUACAUAGGGUGCAAGCGUUGUCCGGAAUUAUUGGGCGUAAAGAGCUCGUAGGUCGUUAAUCACGUCGGAUGUGAAAAUCUGAGGCUCAACCUCAGACCUGCAUUCGAUACGGGUUAACUAGAGUGUGGUAGGGGAGACUGGAAUUCCUGGUGUAGCGGUGGAAUGCGCAGAUAUCAGGAGGAACACCUAUGGCGAAGGCAGGUCUCUGGGCCAUUACUGACACUGAGGAGCGAAAGUUCGGGGAGCGAACAGGAUUAGAUACCCCGGUAGUC
rnacentral:rRNA from 1 species